CAGAUCAAGUUACUAAGCGCAGAAGGUGGAUGCCUUGGCAGUCGAAGGCGAAGAAAGACGUGGAAGCCUGCGAAAAGCUUCGGGGAGCUGGCAAA
rnacentral:rRNA from 1 species